rnacentral:rRNA from 1 species
GCUGGCGGCGCGCUUAACACAUGCAAGUCGAGCGAGAACCUGGGCUUCGGCCCUGGGGACAGCGGCGAGCGGGUGAGUAACACGUGGGUAAUCUGCCCUUGACAUCGGGAUAGCCCGGGGAAACCCGGAUUAAUACCGAAUAGCCUCCGGAGCCUUCGGGCGCCGGAGAAAAGGUAGCUUCGGCCUCUGGUCGAGGAUGAGCCCGCGGCGGAUUAGCUUGUUGGCGGGGUAACGGCCCACCAAGGCGACGAUCCGUAGCUGGUCUGAGAGGACGAUCAGCCACACUGGGACUGAGACACGGCCCAGACUCCUACGGGAGGCAGCAGUGGGGAAUCUUGCGCUAAUGCGGGAAACCGUGACGCAGCGACGCCGCGUGGGGGAAGAAGGCCUUCGGGUUGUAAACCUCUUUCAGGAGGGACGAAGCUACUCGGGUUAAUAGCCCAGAGGGUGACGGUACCUCCAGAAGAAGCCCCGGCUAACUACGUGCCAGCAGCCGCGGUAAUACGUAGGGGGCAAGCGUUGUCCGGAUUUAUUGGGCGUAAAGAGCGUGUA